CCUACGGGAGGCAGCAGGGAGGAAUAGUGGGCAAUGGGCGCGAGCCUGAACCAGCCAAGUAGCGUGAAGGAUGACUGCCCUACGGGUUGUAAACUUCUGUUAUAAAGGAAUAAAGUGAGGCACGUGUGCCUUUUUGUAUGGACGUUAUGAAUAAGGAUCGGCUAACGCCGUGCCAGCAGCCGCGGUAAUACGGAGGAUCCGAGCGUUAUCCGGAUUUAUUGGGUUUAAAGGGAGCGUAGAUGGGUUGUUAAGUCAGUUGUGAAAGUUUGCGGCUCAACCGUAAAAUUGCACUUGAUACUGGCAGCCUUGCGUACAGUUGAGGUAGGCGGACUUCGUGGUGUAGCGG
rnacentral:rRNA from 1 species